ACGGGAGGCAGCAGUGGGGAAUAUUGGGCAAUGGGGGAAACCCUGACCUAGCAACGCCGCGUGAAGGAAGAAGGCUUUCGGAUUGUAAACUUCUUUUACCAGGGACGAAGGACGUGACGGUACCUGGAGAAAAAGCCACGGCUAACUACGUGCCAGCAGCCGCGGUAAUACGUAGGUGGCGAGCGUUAUCCGGAUUUACUGGGUGUAAAGGGCGCGUAGGCGGGGAUGCAAGUCAGGUGUGAAAUCUAUGGGCUUAACUCAUAAACUGCACUUGAAACUGUAUCUCUUGAGUGCUGGAGAGGUAGAUGGAAUUCCUUGUGUAGCGGUGAAAUGCGUAGAUAUAAGGAAGAACACCAGUGGCGAAGGCGAUCUACUGGACAGUAACUGACGCUGAGGCGCGAAAGCGUGGGGAGCAAACAGGAUUAGAUACCCUGGUA
rnacentral:rRNA from 1 species